rnacentral:rRNA from 1 species
GUGGAUUAGAUACCCUGGUAGUCCACGCCGUAAACGUUGGGCACUAGGUGUGGGGUUCUAUCGACGGAUUCCGUGCCGUAGCUAACGCAUUAAGUGCCCCGCCUGGGGAGUACGGCCGCAAGGCUAAAACUCAAAGGAAUUGACGGGGGCCCGCACAAGCGGCGGAGCAUGUUGCUUAAUUCGAUGCAACGCGAAGAACCUUACCUGGGUUUGACAUGUAGGGAAAAGCCGUAGAGAUACGGUGUCCUUCGGGGUCCUACACAGGUGGUGCAUGGUUGUCGACAACU